rnacentral:rRNA from 1 species
CAGUCGCCACGGUAAUACGAAGGGGGCUAGCGUUGCUCGGAAUGACUGGGCGUAAAGGGCGCGUAGGCGGAUUGUUUAGUCAGGCGUGAAAUUCCCGGGCUUAACCUGGGAACUGCAUUUGUGACUGGCAAGCUAGGGUAUGGCAGAGGGGGGUGGAAUUCCGCGUGUAGCAGUGAAAUGCGUAAAUAUGCGGAGGAACACUGAUGGCGAAGGCAGCCCCUUGGGCCAAUACUGACGCUCACGCACGAAGGCGUGGGGAGCAAACAGGAUGAGAUACCCGCGUAGUCCCUGUCUCUUAUAA